CUCAAUUAUAGCAAAGUUUGCAGAAGAUAUUUCCCCAUUUAAAGGUCGAGAUUGACUGUAUGAAAAGAAUGGCUGAAUGGUCCCUGCAUCAGCAACAACACUUGUGUUAAUCCCUACUCCAAUUGUUCUCCCCCUCCCCUUGAAGAAAAUAAGGGGAAAUAUCUAAGGUGACUAGUAGAACAUUAGAAAUAUGGAGAAAAGAAUAUGCUAAAUUUCACCAAUUGAAGCCUCAAUGCUGCAGCAAUGCCAUAGCCUCAAACCUGACAUGAACAAAUUGGAAACUUCAUACUUAAAGAGCUCCACAUCAGCUUUUGAGCUUAACCCAUCUUUUAAUCAAGUGCUGAUAGUAAUCGGGAACCAGAAAGAAUAGGCUAAACAAACAUGUAAAGGCCCAAAACAUUUCUAAUAAGAAAAAAAUAGAAUACGAAAGGGGUUUGAUCUAGUCUAUCUUCUUUAAAGGAGGAUAUAAAGAUCAUAUUUCUCAAAAAAUAGGAGGGCAGCCGCUGAGAUUGAACAAACAGAACAAAAACUUUCAGGGUAAGAGCGUCGGAAAAGAAGCAGAUAAGAGGAGGAAGUACAAGACGCAAACAACUUGUGGAGAACCACCGACAUUAGACUCACAUCUCUUCGCCUUUGUAUUUACCUAUUAUUUUGUUUUUUUUAUUGUUUGAAAUCAUGGAUAAAAUUUGUUGAAGUUUUUUUUAGUUUGAUGAUUAUGAGCUAAAAGUUUAUUUGCUAGAAUGAUUAUGGAACCCUAAUAUGAGAUUAUUGGUACUUUGCUAGGGAUGUUUGAUGCAAUUUGAUGUUUAUUCAUUCAAGUGAUUUUCAUGUUUAA